rnacentral:rRNA from 1 species
AACGCGUGGGAAUAUACCCAGAUCUAAGGAAUAGCCACUGGAAACGGUGAGUAAUACCUUAUACGCCCUUCGGGGGAAAGAUUUAUCGGAUUUGGAUUAGCCCGCGUUAGAUUAGAUAGUUGGUGGGGUAAUGGCCUACCAAGUCUACGAUCUAUAGCUGGUUUUAGAGGAUGAUCAGCAACACUGGGACUGAGACACGGCCCAGACUCCUACGGGAGGCAGCAGUGGGGAAUCUUGGACAAUGGGCGCAAGCCUGAUCCAGCCAUGCCGCGUGAGUGAUGAAGGCCUUAGGGUCGUAAAGCUCUUUCGCCAGGGAUGAUAAUGACAGUACCUGGUAAAGAAACCCCGGCUAACUCCGUGCCAGCAGCCGCGGUAAUACGGAGGGGGUUAGCGUUGUUCGGAAUUACUGGGCGUAAAGCGCGCGUAGGCGGGUUGUUAAGUUAGAGGUGAAAUCCCGGGGCUCAACCCCGGAACUGCCUUUAAUACUGGCAACCUAGAGUUCGAGAGAGGUGAGUGGAAUUCCGAGUGUAGAGGUGAAAUUCGUAGAUAUUCGGAGGAACACCAGUG